rnacentral:rRNA from 1 species
GAUGAACGCUAGCGGCAGGCCUAAUACAUGCAAGUCGAACGGUGUCUUCGGACAUAGUGGCGCACGGGUGCAUAGCACGUAUGCAACCUACCUUACAUUGGGGGAUAGCCUUUCGAAAGGGAGAUUAAUACCGCAUAAGACAGUAGCUGGGCAUCCAGCAGCUGUUAAAGAUUUAUCGAUGUAAGCUGGGCAUGCGUCCAAUUAGCUAGUUGGUGAGGUAACGGCUCACCAAGGCAAUGAUUGGUAGGGGAACUGAGAGGUCAAUCCCCCGCACUGGCACUGAGAUACGGGCCAGACUCCUACGGGAGGCAGCAGUAGGGAAUAUUGGGCAAUGGACGCAAGUCUGACCCAGCCAUGCCGCGUGCAGGAUGAAGGCGUUAUGCGUUGUAAACUGCUUUUAUACAGGAAGAAACGACUCUUGCGAGAGGCAUUGACGGUACUGUAUGAAUAAGCACCGGCUAACUCCGUGCCAGCAGCCGCGGUAAAAC